GAUGAACGCUGGCGGCGUGCUUAGCACAUGCAAGUCGAACGGAAAGGCUCCUGCUUGCAGGGGUACUCGAGUGGCGAACGGGUGAGUAACACGUGGGUGAUCUGCCCUGCACUUCGGGAUAAGCCUGGGAAACUGGGUCUAAUACCGGAUAGGACCUCAUUUUGGAUGGUGUGGUGGAAAGUUUUUCGGUAUGGGAUGAGCUCGCGGCCUAUCAGCUUGUUGGUGGGGUAAUGGCCUACCAAGGCGUCGACGGGUAGCCGGCCUGGGAGGGUGUACGGCCACAUUGGGACUGAGAUACGGACCAGACUCCUACGGGAGGCAGCAGUGGGGAAUAUUGCACAAUGGGCGCAAGCCUGAUGCAGCGACGCCGCGUGGGGGAUGACGGCCUUCGGGUUGUAAACUCCUUUCGCUAGGGACGAAGCGCAAGUGACGGUACCUGGAGAAGAAGCACCGGCUAACUACGUG
rnacentral:rRNA from 1 species